rnacentral:rRNA from 1 species
AUAGAACGCUGGCGGCAGGCUUAACACAUGCAAGUCGAGCAAGUGGCGGACGGGUGAGUAAUGCUUUGGAAUCUGGCUUAUGGAGGGGUAUAACGUCGGGAAACUGUCGCUAAUACCGCGUACCAUAGGAUGAGCCCAAGUGGGAUUGGGUAGUUGGUGGGGUAAUGGCCUACCCAGCCGACGAUCUCUAGCUGGUCUGAGAGGAUGACCAGCCAACACGGGACUGAGACACGGCCCGGCCUCCUACGGGAGGCAGCAGUGGGGAAUAUGGCGCAAUGGGUGCAACCUGACGCAGCAAUGCCGAGUGAAUGAAGAAGGCCUUCGGGUUGUAAAGUUCUUUCGGUGACGAGGCGUUAAUCACACAAGAAGCACCGGCUAACUCCGUGCCAGCAGCCGCGUUAAUUC